rnacentral:rRNA from 1 species
GUGCCAGCCGCCGCGGUAACACGUAGGGUGCGAGCGUUGUCCGGAAUUAUUGGGCGUAAAGAGCUCGUAGGCGGUGUGUCGCGUCGGCCGUGAAAACUUGGGGCUUAACUCUGAGCGUGCGGUCGAUACGGGCAUCACUUGAGUUCGGCAGGGGAGACUGGAAUUCCUGGUGUAGCGGUGAAAUGCGCAGAUAUCAGGAGGAACACCGGUGGCGAAGGCGGGUCUCUGGGCCGAUACUGACGCUGAGGAGCGAAAGCAUGGGGAGCGAACAGGAUUAGAAACCCUGGUAGUCC